GCCUCUCGGCCGUUGUAUGAGGAGCUUGUGUCGUUUGAUGCGACGCGCGCGCAUUUAUUGUUUAUUAAUUUAUUUUUAUUGACCCCACAAUUUUGACAUUUGUGUGAUAGGACACUGUAGACACUUUAGUUUUACAAGUGAACGAAAGGACGCAUUUACUUAUUUGCUUGUGCAAAUACUGUUUAUUUAGUUUUAUAAGCGAGCGAAAGGACGAAAUAACUACCUAUUUGUUUACUUGUGUAAAUUGAAUAUGCCGAAAGUAUCAAAAGUGAAAUGAUAUCAGCAACAAAGGCUCACGGAAAUAAAAAUCGCAGUAGCUCAAAGAAAAAGACAGGUACUACAACAACUCGAUGUAAAUAUAGAAAACCAAGAUUUAACUUCAGAAAAUUGUCAACUUCGAACUUGCGAUGUCACACAGACUACCUUCAAAAAAGUGCCACAAGGUCUAGAUUUAACUACGCCUAUGGCACAUAAGAAUAAGUUUGCAGAGUCAACUAAUGGGUUUAAUUCAACCUAUUGUCAUGGAUUAGAAAGUGAAGAAAAAGAGUAUACUGUUACUACGGAACCGGAAGAAAUUAUAUCCGAUAAACACGUCGGAAGGAAGAUUGUGGCCAUAUCUCAAUUCAAAAAUUACUCAACUUUUGUAAACAUGGCCAUCUAGCGUAUUCAUCGAAUGAUAUAAUACUAACAGGAGAAAAUCAAAAUAGUCUGAUAUCAUUAUUUACUUUUCAGUGUAAAAUGUAUAACGUAACUCUUACAAUCGAAAAUGAUAUUAUUAUGAAUUAAUUUGAAUGCAUGUGCAGUAGCUGGUACCAUCGCAAUAGGAUGUGGCCGGUCACAACUUGAAGAAGUGUUGUCAGCUAUAAAUUUGCCUAGUUUCACUGAAAAUACAUACGACCACAAUCACAAGGUUAUUGGCAAACAUCGUCAUCUCAUUGAGGUGAAAUGUCCCAUUACAGCGCAUAGAAUCGGCAUAGACGAAGCUAUUAGGAAG